rnacentral:rRNA from 1 species
GUAGGUGGCAAGCGUUGUCCGGAAUUAUUGGGCGUAAAGCGCGCGCAGGCGGUCCUUUGAGUCUGAUGUGAAAGCCCACGGGCUCGACCGUGGAGGGUCAUUGGAAACUGGGGGACUUGAGUACAGAAGAGGAAAGCGGAAUUCCAAGUGCAGCGGUGAAAUGCGUAGAGAUUUGGAGGAACACCAGUGGCGAAGGCGGCUUUCUGGUCUGUAACUGACGCUGAGGCGCGAAAGCGUGGGGAGCAAACAGGAUUAGAUACCCUGGUAGUCCACGCCGUAAACGAUGAGUGCUAAGUGUUAGGGGGUUUCCGCCCCUUAGUGCUGCAGCUAACGCAUUAAGCACUCCGCCUGGGGAGUACGGCCGCAAGGCUG